rnacentral:rRNA from 1 species
GAAGCACCGGCUAACUCCGUGCCAGCAGCCGCGGUAAUACGGAGGGUGCGAGCGUUAAUCGGAAUAACUGGGCGUAAAGGGCACGCAGGCGGUGACUUAAGUGAGGUGUGAAAGCCCCGGGCUUAACCUGGGAAUUGCAUUUCAUACUGGGUCGCUAGAGUACUUUAGGGAGGGGUAGAAUUCCACGUGUAGCGGUGAAAUGCGUAGAGAUGUGGAGGAAUACCGAAGGCGAAGGCAGCCCCUUGGGAAUGUACUGACGCUCAUGUGCGAAAGCGUGGGGAGCAAACAGGAUUAGAUACCCUGGUAGUCCACGCUGUAAACGAUGUCGAUUUGGGGGUUGAGCUUU